ACUCCUACGGGAGGCAGCAGUGGGGAAUAUUGCACAAUGGGCGUAAGCCUGAUGCCGCAACGACGCGUGAGGGACGACGGCCUUCGGGUUGUAAACCUCUUUUAGUAGGGAAGAAGCGAAAGUGACGGUACCUGCAGAAAAAGCACCGGCUAACUACGUGCCAGCAGCCGCGGUAAUACNUAGGGUGCAAGCGUUAUCCGGAAUUAUUGGGCGUAAAGAGCUCGUAGGCGGUUUGUCGCGUCUGCUGUGAAAACUGGAGGCUCAACCUCCAGCCUGCAGUGGGUACGGGCAGACUAGAGUGCGGUAGGGGAGAUUGGAAUUCCUGGUGUAGCGGUGGAAUGCGCAGAUAUCAGGAGGAACACCGAUGGCGAAGGCAGAACUCUGGGCCGUAACUGACGCUGAGGAGCGAAAGCAUGGGGAGCGAACAGGAUUAGAUACCAUGGUAGUCCAUGCCGUAAACGUUGGGAACUAGAUGUAGGGUCCAUUCCACGGAUUCUGUGUCGCAGCUAACGCACUAAGUUCCCCGCCUGGGGAGUACGGCCGCAAGGCUAAAACUCAAAGGAAUUGACGGGGGCCCGCACAAGCGGCGGAGCAUGCGGAUUAAUUCGAUGCAACGCGAAGAACCUUACCAAGGCUUGACAUAUACCGGAAAAGUUCAGAAAUGUUCUCCCCGCAAGGUCGGUAUACAGGUGGUGCAUGGUUGUCGUCAGCUCGUGUCGUGAGAUGUUGGGUUAAGUCCCGCAACGAGCGCAACCCUCGUUCUAUGUUGCCAGCACGUAAUGGUGGGAACUCCUAGGAGACUGCCGGGGUCAACUCGGA
rnacentral:rRNA from 1 species